rnacentral:lncRNA from 1 species
UUUAUAAAUUGCCCCUUUUUUGGCAUCAUACGUUAUUAUUCAAUCACAUUACAUUUGUUUUAAAGAAUAUGCCACACUAAAGCAUUAAAAUCAUUUUAUUCCGUAAAUAUUCAAAAUACUUAGUGUAAUAGGCCCAAUUUGCCCAGCCCAUAAUCAAAUCAAAAUAAAAAAAAAUAUAAACCAAACACAAAAAUUAGUCCAUUGGCCCAGAACAUUAAACCCAAAUGGCCCAAUUGCACUUAGCCCCGUUUACUUAAGCCCACUAGCCUGAAUACCCGCAUAAGAGAACAAGAGACCCUAGGGUUUCUGCAAACUCUAGCCGCUGCAGUCAAGCUGAGCCUCCUCCUGCGCAUGUUGCGUUCCUGCGCGUGCAGCGCCUCCGCGCCAGGUCCACACGUACCUUCUCCAGGCUGGCAUCGUACCUGCACAACGGAAGCAACAAACCAGCAACGCAAAAGAAAAACAAAAAAAAUAGCAAGCAAAUAACAGAAAUAGAGAAGAGAUUUUGGAUUUUUUUUUCGAUUUUUAUUUUUCUUCUAUUCGAAUCGGCUAUAUAAGGCCGAUUCCAACACUGUAAACGGGUUACACACACACAGAAUAUCAAUAGAAAAAUCAGACAAAACAAAAGCUGCGUUUUUGGAAGGUGAUUUCUUUUUAAAGUUUUUUUUUUCUUUAUCUAUCGUUCUGUUCUUGUUUCUUUUGGGGAUAUACCUGAAAUAAAAAAGGAAAAGGCAAGGAUCUCACCUUCGCAAGGACGCCAAUGAAGCCCUGUUCGCUCCGUUCAAAUCGAGGCCAGAGGGGUUUCACAUUUGGAGGCGGCAGAGGGGAAUGAUUCGGGUCUAAAGUGGCUAGGGGGACUAAUGAUUUAGGGUUUUUUAUGGCAUUUAUAUUAGUGAA